CAGAUUUUAAUUCAACUCAAGAAAUUGAGUUCAUAUUACUUAAAUGUUUCUAAUUUAUUGAAAUUACUUGUUAAUUCUGAGUAAGCUGAACUUUUUCAUGUCAUUUCUUAUUGUACUUGUGUUUUUAAGUCCAAUCAGUAGUUUCUACUCAAACUAAUUGUGUUUGUAUUACUUAAACAUGUGUCAUUUCUUUACAUUACUUAAGAAUUCUGAGUAAACUGUACUUUUUAAUGGCCUAUCUUAUUGUAAUUAUGUGAUUGAGCUCAAACAACUCAAUAUCAUCAAGUUUUGCCUGUUACUAACAAGACUGGCUGCAGCCUGGCGCUUCCCGUCUCAUGCCGAGACGUGUCCAACGGUUCAAAGGGUCAAAAACAAAAUAUGAAAUCGCAAAUUAUUUUCCAUGGAGUCAUGGGUAAAUUUGUGAUUUCCGGAUUUUAUUGUUGUGUCCCUGAUGUUAACAUAAAAUUGAUGAAAACCUGAAGAGGUGCUGUACAAUAUUGUAAUGAUUGGAAGUAAAGAGGAAGAUAUAUUUUUCUUUUCAUCACAGCAAAUUACCCAGUGUUAAAAUCCUAGUGUUGGGGACUUCUAGAGUAAAGUGUUAAAGUUGUGGUGUUGAAUUUUAGCUAGUGUAAACAGCCCCCUCUGGCCGGUGUAAAUAAUCAGAGUUACCUUUGAGUGUUAAUAGUCACAUCCGGGACAUUUACUCGUGUGCACGCGCCUGACCCAUCUGAAAUACUUUUCACAGACGCCAUUUUCUUUGCUCACGACGCGGCUCGUAUGAGGACGGAAUAUGGCGAAAUAAAGUGUAUAACCUUACUCAUAAAAUGGGUUUUGUAAUAUCAUUUUGUUUUAUAAUGACAUUUAUUUGCUGUGUGCACAUAAACUUUUUUCAAGGACAUUUCCUUUCACUCACGAUGUGGAACAGACGAGGACGUCUUUUAAUUUCUAUAUGGGAAAUCUAAAAAAUUUGAACUGCUGUGCAGCAGACCAUAAUGGUGCAGACGCGGAAAAGACCAGAAAGAGAUAUUUUCUUUCACUCAUAAAGCGGAGCAGACGGAGAAGUUGGUUUUAACAAGGAAAACACGGAAAAAGCACUUUUGUGAUGCUGCAAGUGGGAGUGGAUUGCUUGCUUAGAUGGAAACUGCAGAGAACCACAUCCUGUCGUCCUGAAAAAAAGAAAGAGACUACUUUCUCCAUUGGCACAGACUUUGUUCAGUGAUCAGUAACAUACAUUCAGCCAGGGCUGUCCUUAGGGGGUGCAACUGAUGCGGUAGCACCGGACUCCACACUUGAGGGGUAAACGGACUGAAUGAGCCCCACCCCCGCCGGAACGCUUCCUACUUCGCACCGGGUCCCAAAUCAGCUAAGUAUGGGCCUGCAUUCAUAGUUAAUGGUAAUGACUGAGAUGCUGUGUUGUUUAAGAAGAUAAAUGUAAGCACUAUAAACCUGAUUAAAUUGAGAAUACAUAUGGACCAAAUACAUUUUUUUGUGCCUUUGCACUGAUUUGCUUUGACAUUGUUUUAAUUGUUGUAAAGUAUGUUCUUUAUAUGAAUUCAAAAAACACUGAAUGUGAAGACAUUUUGAUGCAGGGAAAAAGAAUUACAAUAUUUCAGUUAAAAUAAAUAAAUAAGUGUAAACAUACAUUGUUUUGUGAAUUAAUG